rnacentral:rRNA from 1 species
GAGGUUUGUAGUCCUCGGCGUCAGGAUGAACGCUGGCGGACGUGCUUAACACAUGCAAGUCGAACGGAACUGUCAUUUUGUAAGCAAUUAGCUUGCUAAGGGUGGAAAUGUUGGCAGUUUAGUGGCGGACGGGUGAGUAACGCGUGGGUAACCUGCCUUACACAGGGGGAUAACACCUGGAAACAGGUGCUAAUACCGCAUAACAGGAAGAGGCGCAUGCCACUUUCUUGAAAACUCCGGUGGUGUAAGAUGGACCCGCGUCUGAUUAGCUGGUUGCGGGGUAAGGCCCACCAAGGCGACGAUCAGUAGCCGGCCUGAGAGGGUGGACGGCCACAUUGGGACUGAGACACGGCCCAAACUCCUACGGGAGGCAGCAGUGAGGAAUAUUGGACAAUGGGGGGAACCCUGAUCCAGCGACGCCGCGUGAGUGAAGAAGUAUUUCGGUAUGUAAAGCUCUAUCAGCAGGGAAGAAAGAAAUGACGGUACCUGACUAAGAAGCCCCGGCUAACUACGUG